rnacentral:rRNA from 1 species
CAAGUCGAACGGAGCUAUGUUGAAAGCUUGCUGGAUAUAUAGCUUAGUGGCGGACGGGUGAGUAACACGUGAGCAACCUGCCUUUCAGAGUGGAAUAACGUUUGGAAACGAACGCUAAUACCGCAUAACGUCAGAGGAUGGCAUCAUUCUUUGACCAAAGAUUUAUCGCUGAAAGAUGGGCUCGCGGCCGAUUAGGUAGUUGGUGAGAUAAUAGCCCACCAAGCCGACGAUCGGUAGCCGGACUGAGAGGUUGAACGGCCACAUUGGGACUGAGACACGGCCCAGACUCCUACGGGAGGCAGCAGUGGGGGAUAUUGCACAAUGGGGGAAACCCUGAUGCAGCGACGCCGCGUGAGGGAAGACGGCCUUCGGGUUGUAAACCUCUGUCUUCGGGGACGAAUAAAUGACGGUACCCGAGGAGGAAGCCACGGCUAACUACGUGCCAGCAGCCGCGGUAAUACGUAGGUGGCAAGCGUUGUCCGGAAUUACUGGGUGUAAAGGGAGCGUAGGCGGGGAGGCAAGUUGAAUGUCUAAACUAUCGGCUCAACUGAUAGUCGCGUUCAAAACUGCCACUCUUGAGUGCAGUAGAGGUAGGCGGAAUUCCUAGUGUAGCGGUGAAAUGCGUAGAUAUUAGGAGGAACACCAGUGGCGAAGGCGGCCUACUGGGCUGUAACUGACGCUGAGGCUCGAAAGCGUGGGUAGCAAACAGGAUUAGAUACCCUGGUAGUCCACGCCGUAAAC